GAUUUUGCUGUGUAUUCAUGCCAUGUCUGCUACGCCAAAGCCUGCUAAAGUCAUGCCUGUUACUCCAGAACCUGCUCACAUGCCAGGGUUUGCUCACGUCAUGCCUGCCAAGCCAGCACCUGUUCACGUCAUGCCUGCUACGCCAGAGCCUACUCACAUCAUGUCAGUGUCUCAAGAGAUUCUCCACAACAUGGCCACUAUUCAAGAGCUCCGUCGCAAAAUGGCUGCCACUCAAGAGUCUCUUCAGAAAAUGGGCGCCAUUCUAGAGUCUCGUCACGUCUCAGCUGAACUUCCAGAGCCUCGUCACGCCUCAGCUGAACUUCCUGAGCCUCGUCAUGUCUCAGCUGAUCAUCCAGGGUCUCGUCACGACAUGGCCGCCACACCAGAGUCCCGUCACGACAUGGCCGCCACGCCAGAGUCCUGUCACAACAUGGCCGCCACGCCAGAGUCCCCGGCCAAGAUGGCCGCCACGCCAGAGUCCCUGGCCAAGAUGGCCGCCACGCCAGAGUCCCCGCCCAAGAUGGCUGCCACGCCAGAGUCCCCGGCCAAGAUGGCAACCACGCCUGAGCCCCCGGCCAAGAUGGCCGCCACGCCUGAGUCUCGUCAAGUCUUGGCAGUCACUGAGACUGUUCCCAUGGCCUCAGUACUUCUAGUAAUGGCAGUCGCCAUUUUGAGUGUGUGGGCCGCUCACUGCGCUCCAGAGACUUUUCCUGUCCACAAGUCUGUUCCUGAGGCUUCUCCUGACCGUGAAUCCACUCCAGUGCCUCCAGAGGUGGCAGCUUCUGCUGCAGAACCUCCAGAGGAGGCGAGGUCCACUACAGAACCUCCCAAGGUGGUGGCUCCCACAUACGAGCUCUCUGCCUGCCCUGUCACGGCCACGGAGGCCGCUCAUGAACUCACUGUCUGUCCUGUCUCGGCCACGGAGGCCGCUCAUGAACUCACUGCCUGUCCUGUCUUGGCCACAGAGGCCGCUCAUGAACUCACUGCCUGUCCCGUAAUGGCCACGGAGGCCGCCCAAGAACUC
ensembl:lncRNA